GAAAUCUGCUCUAGUUCCUCCUCACACUUCUUUUCAUUUUAUUUUAAAGUAUUUUAUUUAUUUAUUUUUGGCUGUGCUGAGUCUCCAUUGCUGCUUUUCUCUAGUUGUGGAGAGCAGGGGCUACUCUCUGGUUGCCAUGCACAGGCUUCUCAUUGCAGUAUCUUCUCUUGUUGCCACGCACAGACUCCAGGGUAUGCAGGCUUCAGUAGUUGCGGCUCCCUGGCUCUAGAGCGCAGGCUCAGUAGUUGUAGUGCCUGGGCUUAGUCGCUCUUUGGUGAUUCUAACAAGAUACACUGGAAAUCUUGCUUCUCUGCCUACGCCAAGUAAAUAGAAGAAAUGACAUCUCUUAGUUUUUUUGAUUCUCUUUGGUCAAGUCUAUCAAAGCAACAAGGCUAGAAGUUCUGAGAAUGCAUUCUAAACAUGUUCAGUUGAUGGGAGAGAGAAGGAAGAAGAGGAGAGAAGACACCUCGGGCAUCACUCAGACGUCUCAUGUUCAUUCCCUUAACUUUGCAGUGCUACAGUGGCUGGACAGGGAGCUUUCUGUCUGUGUACAGAGAACUGUCUGCAUCAUGCAGAACCAACGUGAUGUUGAACUCUGCUAGGCACCAUCACUAGGCAGUUUUCAGCGUCAUAGUGCUCCAGGACACAAGCUUUUGGAGUCUCGCUGGAGUUUCAGCUCAGCUCUGCUGCUUGCUAAUUGCGUUACCUUGAGCAAUAUGCUUAGUCUCAGUCUCCAUUUCAUCAUCUAUAAACUGAGACUAAUAACACUCACCUCACAAGAUUAUUGGAGAUUAAAUUUGAACAAUGAAUAAAAGGAGGGGGAGGAGACAUUUCAGUCUAAGAAAGCAGCAUAGGCAAGUGCAAACCUGCAGGAAAUACAUCAUGUGUAGAAGAUGCUGAGAUCUAAGAUGGAACUAGAGGAUAGAGUAGGAAGGACAGAGCAGCAGACAAGAUCGAACCACUCAGGGGACCAUUCAAAAGCAAGAGUCAGGAAGCUCUUCUUCAAAUUCUAUCUCCACUCCUAAAGGUCAUGAGAGCACGAACAAAUUUCUUAUCUUCCCUGAGACUCACUGUCCUCAUUUGUAAAAUAUGGGCAGUUUGUGCUUCUAUUCAAGCUGUCCUUCCAACAAGACUAUCCAUUCCCACUGCUCUCAGCCUAACUCUAAUAAGAUCCUUUAAGAUCUAGGAUGCCUGCCCUCCUUUGAAUCCCUGUUGUUUGUA
ensembl:lncRNA